AGAGUUUGAUCAUGGCUCAGGACGAACGCUGUCGGCGUGCCUAAUACAUGCAAGUCGAGCGGACUUUUGGGAGCUUACUCCCAAAAGUUAGCGGCGGACGGGUGAGUAACACGUGGGCAACCUGCCUAUAAGACUGGGAUAACUUCGGGAAACCGGAGCUAAUACCGGAUAAUUCCUUUCCUCUCAUGAGGGAAGGUUGAAAGACGGUUUCGGCUGUCACUUAUAGAUGGGCCCGCGGCGCAUUAGCUAGUUGGUGAGGUAACGGCUCACCAAGGCGACGAUGCGUAGCCGACCUGAGAGGGUGAUCGGCCACACUGGGACUGAGACACGGCCCAGACUCCUACGGGAGGCAGCAGUAGGGAAUCUUCCGCAAUGGACGAAAGUCUGACGGAGCAACGCCGCGUGAGUGAUGAAGGUUUUCGGAUCGUAAAACUCUGUUGUUAGGGAAGAACAAUUACGAGAGUAACUGCUCGUACCUUGACGGUACCUAACCAGAAAGCCACGGCUAACUACGUGCCAGCAGCCGCGGUAAUACGUAGGUGGCAAGCGUUGUCCGGAAUUAUUGGGCGUAAAGCGCGCGCAG
rnacentral:rRNA from 1 species